ensembl:lncRNA
GCAAUAAACCUGCUUGUGGAAUAGACAAGCACCAGGCAUCUCAGAACAGAGAUGCACAGCGGAAGCAGGAAGCAGAUGAAUGAGUUUACCUUUUGCUGCUUGGUCCUUUCAUCAGAAGCCAGUCAUGUCACGUCAGGUGAACUUUGAUAUGGUGGACGGUGACUCUUCUCCUGCAUGCGAGUGGUGGUUCAAACCAGCGAAGAGACUUCAGACCUGUGGUGACAGAGGCCUUAAAACCUCACAGGGAGACAUCCUUGGAGCUCCAUGGCCAGGAAGUGCGGGAGGAAACAGGACUUUCAAAGCAGAAAAAGCCCACCAUGUUCCUGCCCAAGCGAGGCUACGCCAGCCGAGGGUACCCUGUGCAGAGGGCCAGUGGGGCCCCAUACAGCCAGCACCUGCCACGAAGAGCGUGGCCGAGCUGCAGGUCCUGCUGUGUGGCACUGGGCUGCGGGGGACCCCACGAUCAGGCUGAAGAGUGGCUGACCCUGGAGCCCACGAGAUGGAGGAAGGUGUUCAGAGCCACAGAGGCAGGCACACGGGGUGUACUGGGGGGACGCCAGCUCCACGAGGGAGGAGGGGCAGGUGCAGAAGUGAGGAGCCAUGGGAUCUGCAACUUGUGGGCAUGAUGGGGGCCUUGGAGAGAUUAAUCCUGAUCCAACUGGCCCUCUGGAGGAAUCCCCAUGGUGUCGCUGUGCAUCAGGGCACGAGAGCCGAGAGGCAGGGAGGUGAGUGAGGAGGUCUGACAGUCAGCUGUUCAUACAGAACAGCUGUGUGCACGUCCUGAGGACGCUGGGUGCCAGCUUUCUUUUUCCGUUUUCAAACGCUUAGAAAAGACGAGUUGGACCACGCAAGUCUUAGUUUGAAUGAUACAUUCACUCAGCCAGUAUUUAUCAAGCAUCCCCUACAUGGCGAAGGCUGGGGACCCGAGAGGGAGGCUGGAAUCGAGUGGCAACAGCUCGCCGCACACUGUGUGGUAAGAACCUUCAGGAAGAGGCCCAGAGGCUUGGAAAGCACGUGACAGCAGAGUUGGGUCUGGGCUGGGGGACGGUGUCCAGGAAGUCAUGUUGGAUUGGAAAGCCGAAAGAGAAGUUGGUGUUAAACUAUGUGAAAUAGAGAAUGAGGCAUUCCAGGAGGAGGAAGCAGCUUGUGGUGGAAAGGAGUAUGGCAUGUUUGAGAAGUCAGAACAGCAGAUAAAUGGAUGGACCUAGAGUCUGUCAUACAGAGUGAAGGAAGUCAAAGAGGGAAACAAGCAUAGCAUAUUAACGCAUAUAUAUGGAAUCCAGAAAAAUGGUAUAGAUGAACCUAUUUGCAGGGCAGGACAGAGACCCAGACGCAGAGAGCAGACAUGUGGGCACGGGAUGGGGAGGGCAGUGGGCCAAGUUGGGAGAGGAGCACUGACAUAUAUGCGCCCCCACGUGUGAAACUGAUCGCGAGGGGGCGCUGCCGUGUAACAGGGAGCACAGCUCCGUGCUCUGUGAUGAGCGGAGGUGGGGCGGGCUGAGAGAGGGAGGAGACAGAUGUGAACAUAAAGCGGAUUCACGUUGUUGUACCGCAGAAACUGACAGCAUCAUAAAGCAGUUACACAUCAAUAAAAAUUUUUAAACAGAAUUCAAAAUAUAAACGAAGUCAACAGGGUGUAGACAGAGGGGAGAUGAAAGGCCGACUCUGCUGGCAUUCUGCUUCUAACCCCUGGCUGCUCUCUGUUCCCUCCGCACUCCAGAGGCAGCACGGAGGUCAGUCGGCUGGCAUGGUGCGGUGGGGCAGCUGGUGUUGUGAAUCAGGCCGUCGCCAAUCAGAGAACGGCUACUUCACAACACCAGGGUCACACCCCACCCCAGGCAGCGCUCCCAGCUCCAG